UUGUUUUUUCCUUGUUUCCAUUGGCUCUUUGCUCAACUUACCACUUCUUGUCCCUUACUUCCAAGAAAUAGUGAGAAAAAUAAAGGGUAGGGGUCCUUUUUUUUUUUGUGAUUAAGAAUUUAGGUGGAUGAUUGAAAAGGGGACAACCCCACUUGUGUAAAACUUCCAUACUUCAGUCAUCCAUUAUUUUCUGCUUCAUUCAUCUCCAUUUUAUUGCUUCUCUUGUGUUUGUAUAAUCACCUCAAUUGGGAGUCUAAAUAAACACAAUAAGCUAGUUUUGUUUUUUCAAAAUAUAAUCUUUGAUUAUUUUAAGAAAGAGGUUGAUGACCUUUGUUUGUUCCCCAUAAAUUUGUACUAUAAAAAGUUGGUAUUUUGGAUAAAAGGAGGGGUCUUUGUAUCUGGACUUAUCUCUACUUUUUUCAUCAUUAGGGGAUUUUUCCAGGUGUCAGAGACCCAUAUCAGAUCUGUUUUCCCAUCUUAGAAUACCAAAAAAAAAGGAAUAAAAAUCUAAUCUUUAUUGUGUAUAUGAACUGAUCUUGGACUCAAACUGGAUUCUUGAUAUGGGAAUUUGAGAACAUAAAUAGAGGAGAAGCUUUCCACUUUCCUUUUGCUGUUGUUUCUAAAUUUAUGUAACCUCUUUUCCAUUGUUUUGUUUCUUUUUGCUCUUAUAAGAAUAAAAGAGUUGUGUGUAUAGUAAGAGUUUACUUAGUUAAAGCUUUGUUUUAGUCGAUUCCUCUUGAGUCGAUGGUCUUUGCCUCUAGAGGUCGGUAAGACGUGCAUACGCAGUACCCUUCUGAGACCUUACUUAUAAAAUUUUAUCGGAUUUAAUUGGUUGAUUUUGUUUUUAGUCAAUCUUGUUAGACUUUUGGUGAGGCCCACUAUUUGUUUUGGUGGGCUUCAUCAAACCAAUAGAAGGAUAAAACCUGUAUUUUUGGAAGGGGAUUGGUGGGGAUCCCCUUUAUCUCCUUUUUAAGUAGAGGUUGUAGUUUAAUAAUUGUUAUAUAGUAGGAGAAAGAGGGUAAAAACAAAUGAGUUUCUAUUUAUUUACCUACCUUUUGAUCUUCUCCCCACAUGAUUUAUGCUUAAAUUGAAUCAUCAAAAACCUUUUUUCAAAUGCUUUUCUUAUUGAUAACUUGCUUCACCUUCAUCACUUUCCUUUAUAAGUCUCUUUCCCUUAAACCACUUCCCUUAUGGAGUUCUGAGGUGAGAUUGUUAUCAAUCCAUUUUUGGAAAGAUUUCUUGAUUUUGUUGAACCCUUUCAAGAAAGGAUUUUUAGAAGCUGGUUUUAUCCAUUUUAUUACUUCAAGAAUGUCAAUUAGGAGGAAGAGUUUCAGCUCUAGAGUAGAGAAUGUUGAUCCAAAUUUAGAAAUGUCUGUUCUUGAUUUGCCUGAAUUGGCUUUGGAUUGUAUUCUUGAAAGGCUUCCCCCUGAGGGACUUUGUAAUAUGGCCAGUGUUUGUAGUUUUUUGAAAGAGAAAUGUAAAAGCGAUUAUCUUUGGGAAAGACAUAUGAAAGAAAAAUGGGGUAGAGUUAUUGGACCUGCUGCUUAUAGGGAAUGGCAGUGGCAUAUUGCUUCAAGAAAUGAUUCAAGUUUCUUUAACCAGGCUAAACAAAGAGGUUUUAUGACUUACCUCUCUCAGUUUUGGCCUAUUUCAUUAGUUAGUAGAUCUAAUUUUAGCAUUAGUAUCAAGAAAAAACAUACCGCAUCUGUUGAUUCAGUUAUGUCUUGGUAUCUUGCUCUUGAAUCUGGCAAGUUUUGGUUCCCUGCUCAAGUUUACAAUCGCGAGAAUGGGCAUGUUGGUUUUAUGCUGUCUUGCUAUGAUGCUGAGCUUAGCUAUGAUCCAAGAACUGACACUUUCCAGGCCAGAUAUCCACCACAUGGAAGGAGGGCAAUUGCAAUAGAGACAGGUGUAACAUGGGAUAGAUUAAGAGCUCCCCCUCUUGAUACUUCUCCACAUGAUCUUUAUAUAUCUGAUUGCUUGACUGAAUUAUGCCCUGGUGAUCACAUUGAGAUUCAAUGGAGAAGAAACAAAGAAUUCCCUUAUGGAGGUCAUGGGCUCGAGCUGUGGAAUUGGGAGUCUUUGCGUAAUUGGUAAAGUUGUUGUCAUGUGACCAGGAGGUCAUGGGCUCGAACUGUGGAAACAGCCUCUUGUAGAAAUAUAGAGUAAGGCGGCAUACAAUAGACCUUUGUGGUCCGGCCUUUUGCCGGACCCCGCGCAUAGCAGAAACUUAGUACACCGGACUGGUACUUUGGUGAAGUUAGGCUGGUGGUAUGGUGUUGUAGGCCACUUAGAAACAUGUGAUGGAAAUGAGAUUUACUGCCGUUGUCAUGAUAGUGAUAUUGUAAUGCUGGAGUUCAAUCAGUAUACUCCUGGAUCACGGUGGAGAACAACAACCAUCGAUAGGAAAGAUCAUCGUGAGGAAGGAAAUGAAGCUGAUGGAUUUUAUGGAGGAAUUCGGAAGCUUCAGAGCAACGAAGAGAUUUCUAUGUGGAGACACCUCUGGCCAACUGAUGCGUUGGAGUAAGUUAAAAAAGAGUAUUUGGAAUUUACUCGCUUAAUGCUUCACUGUUGUUGGCAGAAAGAUCACCAUUACAAAAGUUCAUUUGGUCCAUCAGAAUGUGAAAAUGUUACACAAGAACUUAGAAGUUCACUUCCACUAGCAUUUUCAGUCCCUAUUUUCAAUUAUGUCUAUUGUUUAGUGAUCAGUGGAGGAGUUAGAAGAGGUUAUUUUAUAAUGCAGAGAUUGCCUUAUUUGCUUCUCCAUAGGUCCAAAUUGUUUGUAAAAUAACUACCACGUUUACAGAUUGAUUUGUUUAGUGAAUCUAUUAAAGCUAUAGUAUAGCUUCUUGUACUAAGAAUGUAGAUUCUUGAUUUAUCUUUUACCACCAUUAUGGUUUCUUUUGAUCAAUGAAAGGAUAGAUGCUUAGUUUUUUA